GUGAAUCAUCGAAUCUUUGAACGCACAUUGCGCCCUUUGGUAUUCCAAAGGGCAUGCCUGUUCGAGCGUCAUUUGUACCUUCAAGCUUUGCUUGGUGUUGGGCGUUUUUUGUCUCCCUCUUUCUGGGAGACUCGCCUUAAAACGAUUGGCAGCCGGCCUACUGGUUUCGGAGCGCAGCACAUAUUUUGCGCUUUGUAUCAGGAGAAAAGGACGGUAAUCCAUCAAGACUCUACAUUUUUAACUUUUGACCUCGGAUCAGGUAGGGAUACCCGCUGAACUUAAGCAUAUCAAUAAGCGGAG
rnacentral:misc_RNA from 1 species